AUAUCUCUCUGUACGGGAAGGAUGAGAAGCUUCGACCAAGGUUCGAUUCGAGCGCAGCGAGAAAGCGUUGCCGCAGGCAACGACCCGAAGGGCGAAGCGCGCAGCGCUGAGUCAUCCUCCCCCACCACCA
rnacentral:sRNA from 2 species